UACAGAGGGUGCGAGCGUUAAUCGGAAUUACUGGGCGUAAAGCGCGCGUAGGCGGCUUUGCAAGUCGGGUGUGAAAUCCCCAGGCUUAACCUGGGAACUGCAUUCGAGACUGCAUUGCUAGAGUAUGGGAGAGGGAAGUGGAAUUUCCGGUGUAGCGGUGAAAUGCGUAGAUAUCGGAAGGAACAUCAGUGGCGAAAGCGACUUCCUGGACCAAUACUGACGCUGAGGCGCGAAAGCUAGGGGAGCAAACGGG
rnacentral:rRNA from 1 species